rnacentral:rRNA from 1 species
UUACCUCUGUGUUGUAGCUAACGCGUUAAGCACUCCGCCUGGGGACUACGGUCGCAAGACUAAAACUCAAAGGAAUUGACGGGGACCCGCACAAGCGGUGGAGCAUGUGGUUUAAUUCGAUGCAACGCGAAAAACCUUACCACUUCUUGACAUGGAGGCUAGAUCCUUCUUAACAGAAGGGCGCAGUUCGGCUGGGCCUCGCACAGGUGCUGCAUGGCUGUCGUCAGCUCGUGUCGUGAGAUGUUGGGUUAAGUCCCGCAACGAGCGCAACCCUCAUCCUUAGUUACCAGCGGGUAAUGCCGGGCACUUUAAGGAAACUGCCAGUGAUAAACUGGAGGAAGGUGGGGAUGAUGUCAAGUCAGCACGGCCCUUAUGGGGUGGGCUACACACGUGCUACAAUGGCGACUACAAUAGGUUGCAAUGUCGCAAGA